CAGUAUCAUAGGCUUUUUUCAGGCCUAGAUUCAACUGCUGUGUAUUUCUGAAAUGUUUGAAGAUUACCUCCUUCCUAGGAGAUUAACUCCCUGUCAGAAUCCAUAGAAGGCUGGAGAACAAAACCUUUUGUUCUGUAGCAGUUUUAUAUUUACAAAAAUGACACAGGACUGACAGUUACAGGAAGUGAUGAGAAAGAAAAUAAGAAAUAUUUAAUUACUGAGAUGGGUUUCUGCUUAAAGAAACAAUCAAAACCAAACAAAAAAUGAUAACUCCACCCCAUCAUUAAUGCUGUCGUGUUUGGAAUGUGGGAGACAAAUCUGUGAGGACAAGUUGGUUAGAAACAGGUAGCAUUGGUAGGGGUAAGCAAUAAAUAUGUUUUCCAUUUGGUUAUCACUGUGUACAAGAAGUGUUCAGCCACUAAGCUGCUGGGGAAAUAGUGAUCUCUUUCUGUGUAUAUCCUCUUUAUAAUGGAUUGUUGAAUCGAAAAUAUGUUAAAACCCUAAAAAGCACAUGUCUUGUAUUUUAAUGCUUUUUGAUUGGAGUCUAAAAACACCCUUUUCUGGGAUAUUAAUAAAGAGGACCUUUUUUGCCUUGGACACAGGUACAGAAAAGCCUGCAGGAAAAAAAAAAACAAACCCAAAACAUUCAAAAUACCAACUCUCCCCAGCAUUAAAAGGGGAUAUAUAUUUAAAAAAGAGAGGUUUCCUGAAGAGAGACCCUGGGAAGGGUUCACAGUUCAGUUCCUUUGGAGGUUAUAGCUGAUCAUACAAGGUGUCAGUUGGUGCUAUGCAGAAAAUUCUGGCCAGGAUAUGUACAUUUGCUUUAUAUGCAGGGAGAUUAUUUAAAUGAUAAGAAAGAUUGUGUGUGUUAUUGAUUAGGAUAAAAAGUUGUGUGGUUUUGGCAUGUCUUGCCCCCACCUGAUGUCUUGUCACCUAACAUGCUAGGUCAGGUGCCAAGGGGAUGCUUUGGUUCUAGCAGACAGUGACAAAGCAGUAAGUAGCUCGUUAACUUAGGGAUUCUGUAGGGACUGGGAAGAGAAAAACAUCUUUACAGAAUAUUUACAUUGCUGUAGACUUAGAAGUGAAAUGACCGUGUCCGUGUACACGUCCUUUUGACUGACUAAACCAGUGGCCUAGGAUUAAGGUGAUGAGGGACCUGCUGACUGUGGGACUCGUGGAGUUGAUGAACUGUGGAGCUUUCUUUAAAGGAGGAUGGCCUGAGACCUGUGGCCCCUGAAAGCUAAGUUGAGGGAUGGGUGCUGGGGAGGGCUUGGGGGAGGUGGGGACAAAGUUGGGAAUUGCAGGGAGGGGUUUUAAAGUCAAGAGCUGGGGAGAGGGCUGUCUGGGAACUGUCCCUUUGGGCAGGUAAAGGCAGUGGGUUACUCUUCAGCUUGAUGUCAGCGUGUGCCAGGCAGGGCAGCUCCAGCCUGCGUGUGUCAUGGUGUAGUUUGUGUGGUCUGUUGUCUUUUGUGUCUCAAACCCUCCUUGGGUCCCAGUCUCCUCUUUGUGCUCCAGAAGUACAGCACUCAUCUUGCAGCCCAUCCUUAGGUCUUGAGCAUCAUCUGUGCUCACCCUCGUAGUGCCCAUGGGGCGCUGCUUUUCUUGCCUGAACUGAAAAGCCCCGCUGGGCCUCGCGAGUCGGGUGUCUCCUCUUGAUCCUCUUUUUGCGCCGGUGUUGCGGUCGGUGUCGUCAGCCCCGCUCUGGAGGCUUCUCUUUCGCAGGGAGAAUCUCUCUUUUCUGGGCAUUCUUCCCUGUGUCCUUGCAUUCUUGGGUCUUGCCAAGGCUUCUCGUGCAUCCGCGUGUUUCGGUUCUGACUGUAGCUUCUUGUCACGGUUUGCCAUGUUUGACCUUUCUCUGGGGCUGCCUUAUGGCUUCCUUACUGCUGAAAUCACAAGUGAAUUGAGUAUAGGAAUAUUGGGACUAAUGUGUUAAUUAAAGGGAUAUCAGUUCAAAUUGCAUGCCUGUUAAAGACUUGUGCAAACUGACCACUGCUUGACCUAAGCGACUUGACUUUGGACUGGACUUGUGACUUGACUUAGCCUGAGUGUCUGGAGUGAUGAGGCCUUAGGCUGUGAUUCUAAUUAAUCUUUAGCUGAACUCCUGUGAUGAGCCUUAGUUAGACCUUCACUCUGCCAGCUGUAAUAAUAUGGAAACAAGAUGUGGACAAUUACUCAAGACGAUCUUCUGAACUGGGAAGAUGCAUUGACUGAAAGUUAAGUGGGAGCAAUUGGACAAAAGCAGAAUGUGGAAGACUUUUCCAGCUGAGAAACAAGUGGAAGAGAGCAAGACUGGAAGCACCCAGCUCGAGCUGCAGUAAACUGGUUCUGUGGCAGAACUGAGGGUCUGAGCUUCUCUCUCAGGUUGGAGGUGAAGACUGGAUCCAGCUGCACCUAGGCUCUGCCCUGAGAAGAAGCUGAGAAACCAAGGAGGUCCUGUCUGAAGCUCACAACUCGAAAGGAGGGACUUUCUGGACUCUUCAACACUCAUCUCCUGCUUGUGGUCCUGUAUGUCUUGCCACCUGGUGGCAUCUGCAUUGGAGCAAGAGUUUUUUUAUUGCUGGGAGUUUCCUCUCAUGCUCGUGUCACAUCCUUUUUGUUUGUGUGUUGUGUCUCUGUGCUGUUGGGUUGGAGCUGCUCUCUCUGGAGGCUGUAGCAACUGUGGGGUUGGGAGAAGAAUAGCAAGGAGAGCCUGUGGUUCAUGUUGCUGUGCUGUCUGUGCCUGUUGGGGUGCAGAUGGAGCAUUUGAAGUGAAGUAGCAGCCCUCAGCAGGGGAGGGUGGUCAUUUUCAUAGUGAUUUUGAGAGGGGGUGGCUGGAGCCACCUGGGAGAGGCUGCUGGAGCCAUAGCCAAGCAGAUUGGGUGUCCAGGUUGUUAAGGCCUGAAUGUGUGGGGCGUAAUGUUCACCUGUUUUUUAGCUCCCUUGUAGGUAGUUAGGAUCUAGAAGAUGUUCCUAAAUGGGAAUCUCUGGAAUUGCAUCUGGCUGAUUGCUUGUUACUGCUUUUUCAGAUGCAGGGAGAGGAGCCACGCGGCAGAGGGUGAUGGAGGAGAGGAGCAGAGCGCAGUGAGGAGCUGGGUUGGUGCGUAUUGAAGAGUCUGGGUGAGUUGUCCCCUGGGUUGUGAGGGGAGGUGUGAGUGGUGCCUCUAUCGACUGGCUCAUGGUUUGGGUUUGUUUUGUAGGUGCAAAGCACCGAGGGAAGCGGGAGAUCUGCACUGAAGGUGACUCGAGCAAGGCUGCACACAGGGCUGGACGUGGCAACCCGUGACCAUCAGAGGCCAGACAGUUUUGCAGCCUUGGAGCAGUGGAGCAGCAUGCCAACGGGCCAUCUGUGGAGAUGACACAGGCAUCAGCCAGAUGCCGCAAACAAGGAUGGCCUCAGCAUCUGAUUCUGGAACCAGCAGAUCACUAUGAGGAGCCUGGCGAUGGCAGGAACAUCCCGGGAAGGACGGCUUGUCGAGGAGGAAGGCUGCAGAGCCCCGGCCAUCUGAAAGCUAAGUGGAGGGGCUGGGAGGAGGGGACAAGGUUGGGGAUUGGAGGGGGGGUUUUCAAAGUUGGUGUAGGGGAGAGGACUGGCAAGGCACAGUCCCCUUGGGGCAGGCAAAGGGACGGGUUACUCUUCAGCACAAUGUCAGCGUGUACAGGGCAGGGCAGCUCCAACCUGUGUCUGGCGUGUACUUCGUGUCGUCUGUUUUCCGUGUCUCAGACUGUAUGUUCUUUGGCUCUUGGUGCCUCCAUAGCUCGGUGACCAGCAGGCACCUCGGUAGCCCUCCCAAGAGUCCGGAAUGCAUCACUUCACUGGCACAGAGCCUGUUGAGCCCUUCUCAUCUCACAAUUACAGCUUGACGCGUGGAUCUCUUUGGCGUGUGUCACAUCCUGGCCGUUUCUGAGCGUUCAUCUCUUGCGGUGGCCAGCCAGGUGCUGCCUGCAGCUCUGCUUUUGAGUCUGCUGUUUCCACAGAAUCGUCAUCUGGGGUUUCAUCCCUGUGUCCUCACUGGUCUUAGGUCUUCAAGCAUGGCUUCUCACACAUCCCUUAUUCUGGUUUUGAUGGUAGCUUUCUCUUGUGUGUGGUGGCAAUUGCCUCUCCUUGGCAGGUCUGCUUUAGAUCAUCUGUACCAUCGUGGCAUUGUAGGGCUUCUCUGCCAGCAUCAUCUUCCCUAUGGGAAUUGUUCUCCUGUCCUGUGGUCUUCUCGUGUAUUGUGGUCACGUUGCUGUACUUGAUACAGUGGAAUCUUUCACUGAGCAAGGACAAGAGAGUUAAAAAAAUUACAAAGGUCUUAUGAAAUAAAGAUCUUGUGGUUGAAACAAGAAGAUAAGGAAGUACUAGCUUUGCUUAAAAUGUGGCAGAAUUGCCAAAGUUGGUAUAGGUGAGUGAUCUCUUCUGCUUGCUACAAGAUCAUGCAUGUGGAAACCAGACCUCCAGCACUUAGGCUGCCCACCUCCAACUGAAGACCUACCCACUGUGUCUGCUGUACCUCGAAAUCAGAAUGAGAAAUUCACUAACCAAUCAGAGUAGAGUAACUCUAAAUAUGUAUUAGGUGGAGGAAACUAACCACAAGUGCAUAAAUGUACAUAGCCUUGCUACUUCAGGGGGCAGCUUUGUGUCUAACCACCUCUCACCCUGUGUUUGCAUAAAUGAAAAUACCUUUGCUCUGUAUGUAUUUUGGCAUCUUGCGUACCAGGUGAAGGACCCCACUUUUGGUAUAACAAGGUCAGUCACAGUGUCUGUGUGUAGUCCUGGUCUGUGUGCGAGGGUUGGAGCUGCCCUGCCCAGGGAUGCAGCAGUACUGAUGACAGGGUAGUGUAGCUUUAUGGGGGUGUGGAAGCAAGUUGAUUUGGACCAAUGCUGUUGGCAGAGACCAUACGGUCCAUCUCUGGGCCAACGGGUAGGCAACUGCCACAGUUGUGUUGACUUUCCUUUACGGUCCGGGGCUAGGAUUGGAUCCAGCCGCACCUAGACUCCUCUGAGAAGGAGUUUAGAAAGCAAGGGGGUCCAGUCUGAACCUCGUGACUGGUUGGGAGCAGCAGUUAGUGUGGAAGGGGAGCGGGUCAGAUCUGGAAGGUGCCUUAGCUUGCACACAUGGGGAUUUCUUCUUUUAGCUGUAGUGAGAAGGCACAUGCAAAAAGCAAACAUACCUCUGGUCUCAGGAAGCUGUCUGUCAGCAUCCAGGUGACUUGCUUUAUACAUUGUUUGUUGGUUGUUUUGGUUUUUUUUCAGAUGCAGAGGAACAAGCUGCACAUGAAAGGGCACAGAAGAGGGGAGCAGGGUGCUGGAUGAAGGUGCAGAGCAACAAGCAGCACGGCCAAGGGCACGGAAGAGGGGAGCAGAGUGCCGGCUGAAGAAGGACAGUCAUGCAGCUCCGGAGUAUCGGCAGGACAGCUGGUGGUUCUGUCAAGCUUGAGCUUCUCUGGCUGGAUUUUCUGGGUGCAAAUCCAAGUGUGAAGCGAGAUGUUGUCAGCAGAGCGGCCUCUGGCAAGGUGGUACACAAGCCCUCCUAGUCCCCUGGGGUACCUGCCUGGAUGGUUCAGGAUGGCCUGGUGCUGUGCAUUGCAUUUCCAGAGACAAACAGCAGCUUGGCAGCUUGUGGUCAGGACUCUGGAGAGAUUUGGGAAGGCCCCAGAGCACCUUCUGCAUCCUCUCACAGUCAGCAUGAACUUGCUGGAGGAAUCCCAAGGCAGACUGACCAUGACACCUGAAGCAGAUACCAGCCACCGGUGUGUUCAGAUGCUGAACAAAUAUUUCUCAUACUCCCUUUCAAUUGUUGGAAACCUGCCAGAGAUUUUACAUGACUAAGAGUGACUUAUGUGGAAAAUCAACUCCAGGAACCUUAUCUCAGUGAAACCCAAGAAAAGCAAAGGUCUGCUGUUGUGUGUUCACAUCUCCUUCACACUUUCCCUGCUCCUGCAUUUUCUCCAAGAUCUUUUCUCCUCCUCUUUUGAGGAAGAUGCCAGAGUGACAGUAACAAAAGCUGGAACUUUUGUUAAAAGGUAACUAGGUCCACAGAUGAGGCUCUGCAGGAAUGGUUCAAGAUGCAGCUUCUCCCAGCUCAGAUGCAUUACACAGACUUGCAGACUGCUGCUGAGUUUGGCAGUGAAUAACAUCUGCUUGGAGACCAGAGGAGUCAGUUGAUAAAGGAUGGGAAGCUGUCAAUAAAAUGUUGGAAUGAUUGUAUUAUUUUCAUUGAAACUGGAAUUUGUUUAGCUUUUCCCUAUGUCCUCUUCUUAAGAUCACUUAAGAUCUAAUUUAUUUCCUUUUUUUCUUUUAUAUCUUGAGUUGUUAUAAAGAAGUCAAUUAGAGAGGCCCAAAAUUACCAUUACUAGGCUCUGUGUUAGUUGCACAUAAUGAUUAAAAUUCAAUGUGUUUUUCUGAA